rnacentral:rRNA from 1 species
UCGGGAAUCUUGGGCAAUGGGCGAAAGCCUGACCCAGCAACGCCGCGUGAGGGAUGAAGGCCUUCGGGUCGUAAACCUCUGUCGGGAGGGAAGAAAGGUCGGGAGUCGAAUAGGCUUCAGGCUUGACGGUACCUCUAAAGGAAGGUCCGGCUAACUCCGUGCCAGCAGCCGCGGUAAUACGGAGGGACCAAGCGUUGUUCGGAAUCACUGGGCGUAAAGCGAGUGUAGGCGGCUCGGCAAGUCGGAUGUGAAAUCCCAAGGCCCAACCUUGGAACUGCACCCGAUACUGCCGGGCUAGAGUCUCGGAGAGGGUGGCGGAAUUUCCGGUGUAGAGGUGAAAUUCGUAGAUAUCGGAAGGAACACCAGUGGCGAAGGCGGCCACCUGGACGAUGACUGACGCUGAGACUCGAAAGCGUGGGGAGCAAACAGGAUUAGAUACCCCCGUAGUCC